rnacentral:rRNA from 1 species
AGUGAACGCUGGCGGUAGGCCUAACACAUGCAAGUCGAACGGCAGCACAGUAAGAGCUUGCUCUUACGGGUGGCGAGUGGCGGACGGGUGAGGAAUACAUCGGAAUCUACUUUUUCGUGGGGGAUAACGUAGGGAAACUUACGCUAAUACCGCAUACGACCUACGGGUGAAAGCAGGGGAUCUUCGGACCUUGCGCGAUUGAAUGAGCCGAUGUCGGAUUAGCUAGUUGGCGGGGUAAAGGCCCACCAAGGCGACGAUCCGUAGCUGGUCUGAGAGGAGGAUAAGCCACACUGGAACUGAGACACGGUCAAGACUCCUACGGGAGGCAGCAGUGGGGAAUAUUGGACAAUGGGCGCAAGCAUGAUCCAGCCAUACCGCGUGGGUGAAGAAGGCCUUCGGGUUGUAAAGACCUUUUGUUGGGAAAGAAAAGCAGCAGGUUAAUACCCCGCUGUUCUGACGGUACCCAAAGAAUAAGCACCGGCUAACUUCGUG